AACGAACGCUGGCGGCAUGCCUAACACAUGCAAGUCGAACGAGACCUUCGGGUCUAGUGUCGCACGGGUGCGUAACGCGUGGGAACCUUCCCUUAGGUUCGGAAUAACUCCCCGAAAGGGGUGCUAAUACCGGAUAAUGUCUUCGGACCAAAGAUUUAUCGCCUUUGGAUGGUCCCGCGUUGGAUUAGCUAGUUGGUAGGGUAAAAGCCUACCAAGGCGACGAUCCAUAGCUGGUCUGAGAGGAUGAUCAGCCACACUGGGACUGAGACACGGCCCAGACUCCUACGGGAGGCAGCAGUGGGGAAUAUUGGAAAAUGGGAGAAAGCAUGAUCCAGCAAUGCCGGGUGAGUGAUGAAGGCAUUAGGGUUGUAAAGCUCUUUUACCCGGGAUGAUAAUGACAGUACCGGGAGAAUAAGCUCCGGCUAACUCCGUG
rnacentral:rRNA from 1 species